rnacentral:lncRNA from 1 species
AGCCGGCCGGCGCUGCAGAGCCCCUGGCGGUUUCCGCGGCCCCCCGCGCCGCCGCUCCGAGGCGCGGUGCGUGUCCCCGCGGCCUCUGGGCAUCCUUAGCUCCCGGCCUCAGCGUCCGAGUGCGUGCAGACGCGGAAAGCGGCCGAGCCUGCGGGCUCCUCCGGUUGUGAAAACUUGGCGGAGCCACUGCGCGCGCGGGGGCGGCGCUGGAGUCGUCGCGGACCGGGGUGGCCUGGGCGCACUGGCCUGUCCCCGGCGGGCAGGCGAGGCCCGGAGAGAACUUCGGGAGGCGCGGACCGCCCGGCCCCGUGCGCCCCUCUCUUCCCUCGGCCUCAGCGCUGCUCCGUCCUCAGCCCGGAGUGAGCAGAGAGCGGACCCCGCGGUGGCGCACGGCCAGGCUGCUUCCCGUGGCCUGGGAGCGGCUGAGCUACUCUGGGCCAAGCCGGCAAAACAGUGUGCCCUUCGCCGGCCUGCGGAGCCCGCGAGGACCCCGCAGGCCGAGUGCCGCCAGCUGGGACCCCCCCGGGCCGCUUUGAGGCCACUGGCUGAGACCCGGGCCCAGCGCCCCGCAGCGUCCGCCCUCGGCCCGCGGGGUUCUCCCUCACGCGGACCUGCCACGUGGCCUGGACGGAGGCCGUUCGGCCUGGGCAUCAGGAUGAAGCCUGGUCCUGGGUCUACACUGGGGCGGGCCCUGUCCCUGGUGAGCAGAGCCACAGCUCCCUGGUCUGCAGCUGUGAGGAUGCUCCAGGCCUAGGGACUCGGACAGCACCAGGAAGUCUCGCCUGGGAUUAGCGACAGUGUGACCCGCGAGAGUAAUUACUGCUUACCCGCUCCGAAAUUACCAGCUUCGGUUCUCUGACCUGCCCAGGGCUUCUUCCUGUCCACGCCCCUCCCUGCUGCCCCCCUCCCGUGCCAAGGCCAGGGCCCCGUGCCGGCUUUGGCAGAUUUCGGGUGGCCUUCAGUGAGCUGGCGCCGCCCGCUCUGGGAGUCCCCACCCUGCUUCCUCGCCAGGAACCCCAAGCAGGGCCCACUUCCCUCUUCUUUGCACCCCAAGGAACCCCAGCGCUGCCUGGACCUGGGACUGUCUCUCCAGCGUCCUGCUAAGCAAACACCAGUGUGGCAUUUCAAGGUGACAGGUAAACACAGGAUAAUGGGAUUUAUUAAGGCCAUUCAUCCUGAAGUCACAUGGAAAGUGCUACGUUUGAAUGAUGAAACGCAAGCCUGAAUAUCCAAAAAGCACUAGAACUCCCUUCCCAGGAAAACUGCCUUUCAAACCUUUAAAAUGAUGCCCUUUAAGGAGAACACAAACUAUCCCUGUGAUGUAGCCAUAAAGCAGAAGUAGAAAACACAACAGCUCAAUUUAAGAAAAUGUGAAAAUUACAUGGUGCUGGUGAAAUCCCAGACACAGAGUCAAGUGAAAACAGCUGUGGAUACAGUGGGAGGCUAGGUGUCUCGAGGGGGCGAGGAAGGAAUUCUGGCUGUGGAGCCCCUGUGCACUUGGGGAGGGCCAGUCACGUCGCAUGCUGCUGGCACUGAGCAGGUGUUGGUCACUUAGAUGACACCGGUGGCUGAAGCCCCCAACACUGUGCUGACCGAUGG